CCUACGGGAGGCAGCAGUAAGGAAUAUUGGUCAAUGGAGGCAACUCUGAACCAGCCAUGCCGCGUGCAGGAAGAAGGCCCUAUGGGUCGUAAACUGCUUUUGUACCAGAGAAAACCCGAGUACGUGUACUCGGUUGAUAGUAUGGUAAGAAUAAGCAUCGGCUAACUUCGUGCCAGCAGCCGCGGUAAGACGAAGGAUGCAAGCGUUAUCCGGAUUCAUUGGGUUUAAAGGGUGCGUAGGCGGACUGAUAAGUCAGUGGUGAAAUCUCUCGGCUUAACCGAGAAACUGCCAUUGAUACUGUUAGUCUAGAGUAUAGAUGACGUUGGCGGAAUAUGACAUGUAGUGGUGAAAUACUUAGAUAUGUCAUAGAACACCGAUUGCGAAGGCGGCUAACGAAACUAUAAACUGACGCUGAGGCACGAAAGUGCGGGGAUCAAACAGGAUUAGAUACCCUGGUAGUCCGCACCGUAAACGAUGAUUACUCGUUGUUGGCAAUAUGACCGUCAGCGACCAAGCGAAAAGCGAUAAGUAAUCCACCUGGGGAGUACGCCGGCAACGGUGAAACUCAAAGAGUAAGUGACGUGAGAGAGACGACGACGACGACGACGGAGGGAGGAGG
rnacentral:rRNA from 1 species